GUCUAUCUUCGGGGCAGGGUGAAAUUCCCUACCGGCGGUGAUGAUUUAUAAUCUAAGCCCGCGAGCCUGUAAAGGCAGGAUUUGGUGAGAUUCCAAAGCCGACAGUAUAGUCUGGAUGGGAGAAGAUGGAG
rnacentral:ncRNA from 2 species